rfam:Methanohalobium evestigatum Z-7303, complete genome.
GUCAAUAACCCACCUCUAAAGAGGUGGGCUUGUCGAUGAGGCAAGCCCUGAUUGACCAGACUGAGUUCCCUCAACCAAAAGGGAACUACGUUAUCCCGGCUAUGAUACCCUCGGAUGCUUCCUUAGUCCGUUGGUCUAUCGCAUAGCAUUAAACAGUCCUUAGAGGUAGGGACAGUGUGCAUGCAUAACAAACCGGGAUAACUUUGUCGAAGGGAGACGGC